UCCGUGGGAGCCUCUCUGGCCCCGCAGUCCCAGCAGCAAACUGCGCUUGGUCGGACGGAUGCCCGCGCGGAGGGAAGUUGAGAAAAAGCAUGUCUUUGGAGGCUGGAAACCUGGAGGUCAUUUCUGAGCAAGAAAUCGGGAAGCCUUCGGGUCUUUGAUCUCUGCUCCCAGCACCUCAGUAGAGAUGGUUCCAGGGAAGAGCCUGAGAGGGAGAUUUAUUCAGUUCCAAAGCCCCAACGGCACCACCCAAACUUGGAAAAAGAAUCAUGUUGAUCACCAGAGAAGGAAUCUCAUGGGAACUAGACUUCGUUCAGGAGGCGCCAGUAACAAAGAGGCUCUGGGAUUGCAUCCUGACCGCCCUGGAGGGAGGACGUGACCAUUGGCACAUGAGGCUAUGAGACAACUAGACAGCCCAGUUCUCAGAGAAGCAUCUCCGUUCUUCCUUCUCCAGGAGUUUAGCUUGGACAGCAGAGACGCACCACAGCGGUGCAGGGCAGAAAGUCCUGUGGUUAGACCGCGCCCCACACUCUCUCACCCACUCCUCCCCACAACUUGCGUCAGACCCGGCUUCGUUUUUAAUUCUCCAGCCUUGGGAAUGACAGACUUAAUUCAGAGGUCUUGCCCUUGCGCCCUCCCCGACCCGGCACCGCGUCCCGAGUCCUGUGGUGCCUGUGGGGCUUGUGUUCACUCAGAGGCCAUCAGACGCUGCGCGCGGUAGUUUUCUUCUCUUUAGAAGGUAGCAAACUGUUUUCAAAGGUGGGAUCUUUACAGACGAAGGAUGCCAAGACCCAUUCCCCAAGAUGCGGGGCUCCGUGGAGUACGGGGUGGGGGAAUGUGUAGGAGGUCUGAUUAGUCUGGUUUCCGGUCAGAGAGCCUCGCAAGCCUAGCCGGCUGAGAGCUGUUCUUUUAGUGGUGCUGAAAAUGAGGCCAACUCUGCCCAUUUGCCUACAAGCUGUCUAUAACUCAGCCACCACCCUCCUUCCUGCUUAGAGUCACAAGCUAAAUGAUUCACUAUUGUCUGGCAACAAAUCCCGGUAACCACCUAAUGGAUCUGAUUGCUUCCAGUAGUAAUCCCCCCCCCCACUCUUUCUCUACUGAGCAUCGAGUGGUUUUUUUCUUUCUCUUACUCUUCGUUGGUUUGAAUGUUUAAAAAUUAUGUUUGUCUA